AUUGAACGCUGGCGGCAGGCCUAACACAUGCAAGUCGAGCGGAGCGGCGGACGGGUGAGUAAUGCCUAGGAAUCUGCCUGGUAGAGGGGGAUAACGUAAGGAAACGGGAGCUAAUACCGCAUACUACCAGAUGAGCCUAGGUGGGAUUAGCGCGUUGGUUGGGUAAAGGCCUACCAAGGCGACGAUCCGUAACUGGUCUGAGAGGAUGAGCAGUCACACUGGAACGUAGACACGGUCCAGACUCCUACGGGAGGCAGCAGUGGGGAAUAUUGGACAAUGGGCGAAGGCCUGAUCCAGCCAUGCCGCGUGUGUUAAGAAGGUCUUCGGAUUGUAAAACACUUUAAGUUGGGAGGCGUUACCAACAGAAUAAGCACCGGCUAACUUCGUGCCAGCCGCCGCGGUGAUUC
rnacentral:rRNA from 1 species